rnacentral:RNase_P_RNA from 1 species
CGGGUCGGACAGACAGUCGCCGCGUACCGCCGCAAGGCGUACGGGGAGGAAAGUCCGGGCUCCGCAGGGCGGAAUGCCGGCUAACGGCCGGGCGCGGCAACGCGACGGAAAGUGGAACAGAGAGCAGAACCGCCGAUGGCCGUCUGAAAAGGCGGCACAGGUAAGGGUGAAAAGGUGCGGUAAGAGCGCACCGUGCACCUGGUAACAGGGCGCAGCAGGCCAAACCCCAUUCGGAGCAAGACCAAACAGAACGCA